ensembl:lncRNA
UUCAGCGUCACUUUUAUUAAUUCCAACAGGUUAAACAUCCAACACAUGAAGUUCUACAUGUUUUACAAAAUAAAACAAAUGCCCAUGAACCAACACAAUUUAAGUUACAGAAUGAAGUGUACAUGUUUUGUUGCUUUGCCACAGCAGCACAAUAAUUUCCAAAAUUCACUUUACUUCACAAUGACUUAAAUAAUACAUCGGAUUAAUACUACAAAAUUGUAGCAAAAAAUAAUUCCCUUUUACUCACACACACCUACCUUCUCCUACUGGUUAAUAGAUGAAACUAGAAAUUAGACUGCUCUGUCAGGCACUACACCAGGGCCUUUAUUUAUAGAAGUCUAUUUAAGAGGUCAGCAUGAAAGCAGGAACAAGAAAUCUGAUGGAGCUGGGAUGCAGCUCAUUCUGUGCCUCAAACUUUGUAACAUCUUUCCUUCCUUUCACUACAGUUUGAGAUAACCUGGAUCCUCAAGAUUUAUGAAGGCAACUUUGAUGUUAUAUGAAAUUAUGCUUUACAUCGUCCACCUACAGAACAAUUACUUUAUGUCUGACCACUUGUUUUAUAUUCACAGGAAUGCUUCUAUCAGAAAAAUAAAAAUCAUGUUAGUGAUGGCAUCUUUAAGCUGCAGUUCACAUUUUAGCACAAAAACUGAACACCAACAGCUAAACUCUCCCUUUGGCACGCUCACUGUAUGAGAAUGUCUCUUCUAUUUGCCUUGGCAAGCUUCACACCGCUGUCAAACAGCGAAGAAACAAGGUGGUAAAAAUGGCUUACACAUGUCUCAUUUGCAUUUAUUUUCUUCAUCAUUAAACUGCCUGAUUGUUUCCAUUAAUUGCAUUAUUUCAAAUGAUUAAUCCUGCAUCAUACAAGUGCAGAAUCAAAGGUGGUGUCUUCAAGUAGCUUAAAUGGUCUGAAUAAAAGGCCAAAAAGAUUAACACAUCACACAUGCGGCAAUCACAUCAACACUAUUAUUCAUUUUUUGUCGAUCCACUAAUCCUCUGCACGUGAUGAGUCUGUGGUAUUUGACCUUGAUGAGACUGCAGGCUCUCUGCUGAGUGUCACUCUCAGCCAGUGCAAGUAAACAACCUUCUCUCAGCCUCCACUGCAACUGAUCACAGCUGAGU